UACAGGGGGGGCAAGCGUUGUUCGGAAUUACUGGGCGUAAAGGGUCUGUAGGUGGCCAACUAAGUCAGACGUGAAAUCCCUCAGCUUAACUGGGGAACUGCGUCUGAUACUGGAUGGCUCGAGUGUGGGAGAGGAAUGCGGAAUUCCAGGUGUAGCGGUGAAAUGCGUAGAUAUCUGGAGGAACACCGGUGGCGAAGGCGGGUCUCUGGGCAGUAACUGACGCUGAGGAGCGAAAGCGUGGGGAGCGAACAGG
rnacentral:rRNA from 1 species